UGUCCAUGGCUUACAAAGGCUUACAAAUAAAUAUUUUAAUACAAUAAAAUAAAAACAAUGUUUUCAAAUUUUACUUACAAAAUGUCCUCCACUUUUUCAAUUUAUUAUAUAUUUGCAAAAUAACACACACUGUAUCAAAAGAAAUAUGAGGAGUAAUAGGAAAUACGACCAGUGCUAAAUCAAAAUAAACUUAUAUGGGUCUUUCCAAGUAGUUGUAAAACUUCAGCAAAAAAAAUCAUAACAAUGAAUUUUAUGCUGAAGUAGGUAUUCCAAACAACCAUACUUAAUUCAGAUUUAAUAAAUAAAGAAUCAUAUUAUUGGGACCAAAGUGCUGAGGUAUUUAGAUCAUAAACUGUCAGUGAUAUGGUUGAAAUAGAUACCCAAACACCCAGUGCUUGAGACCUUGAGAGUUAAAUACAAUACUGAAUAAACAAUUAUGAAUCUCCAGGGAUUUCCCUAUAUUUUAAAAGAAAUUUAAAGUAAAUAGUUACCAUUAAACAGUUUUUAAAAAUAUAGUUAGCUAAGGCUGUUCGUAAUUAUAAUACUCUCUAUUAUUUAUAUAUUUAAUAAUUUAUGUGAACACUAUGCAAACUAUCACUGUUGAUUUCAACAAAAUCACAUAAAA
rnacentral:lncRNA from 1 species